rnacentral:rRNA from 1 species
AAUUAGAUACCCCACUAUGCUUAGCCCUAAACUAAAAUAGCUUACCACAACAAAGCUAUUCGCCAGAGUACUACUAGCAACAGCCUAAAACUCAAAGGACUUGGCGGUGCUUUACAUCCCUCUAGAGGAGCCUGUUCCAUAAUCGAUAAACCCCGAUAAACCCCACCAUCCCUUGCUAAUUCAGCCUAUAUACCGCCAUCUUCAGCAAACCCUAAACAAGGUACCGAAGUAAGCACAAAUAUCCAACAUAAAAACGUUAGGUCAAGGUGUAGCCCAUGGGAUGGAGAGAAAUGGGCUACAUUUUCUACCCUAAGAACAAGAACUUUAACCCGGACGAAAGUCUCCAUGAAACUGGAGACCAAAGGAGGAUUUAGCAGUAAAUUAAGAAUAGAGAGCUUAAUUGAAUCAGGCCAUGAAGCGCGCACACCCCGCCCGUCACCCUC